GGCAUGGGGAAUGCGAUCUCCCCCAAGAGGCGACAUGCCCGAAACAUCGCGUCCCGGGCUGACCACGCGGACGCAUCAUG
rnacentral:ncRNA from 1 species